GAUGAACGCUGGCGGCGUGCCUAAUACAUGCAAGUCGAGCGAACGGACGAGAAGCUUGCUUCUCUGAUGUUAGCGGCGGACGGGUGAGUAACACGUGGAUAACCUACCUAUAAGACUGGGAUAACUUCGGGAAACCGGAGCUAAUACCGGAUGAUAUUUUGAACCGCAUGGUUCAAAAGUGAAAGACGGUCUUGCUGUCACUUAUAGAUGGAUCCGCACUGCAUUAGCUAGUUGGUAAGGUAACGGCUUACCAAGGCAACGAUGCAUAGCCGACCUGAGAGGGUGAUCGGCCACACUGGAACUGAGACACGGUCCAGACUCCUACGGGAGGCAGCAGUAGGGAAUCUUCCGCAAAGGGCGAAAGCCUGACGGAGCAACGCCGCGUGAGUGAUGAAGGUCUUCGGAUCGUAAAACUCUGUUAUUAGGGAAGAACAUAUGUGUAAGUAACUGUGCACAUCUUGACGGUACCUAAUCAGAAAGCCACGGCUAACUACGUG
rnacentral:rRNA from 1 species